UACGUAGGUGGCAAGCGUUGUCCGGAUUUACUGGGCGUAAAGAGCGCGCAGGCGGUCGUUCAAGUCGCGUGUGAAAGCCCCCGGCUCAACUGGGGAGGGUCACGCGAUACUGAUCGACUCGAAGGCAGGAGAGGGAAGUGGAAUUCCCGGUGUAGUGGUGAAAUGCGUAGAGAUCGGCAGGAACACCCAGGGGGAAACCAGUCGACUGGGCAUCUACUGACGCUGAGGUGCGAGAGCGUGGGGAGCGAACCGG
rnacentral:rRNA from 1 species